rfam:Camelus ferus unplaced genomic scaffold scaffold678, whole genome shotgun sequence.
GAGGGUAUAGCUCAAGUGGUAGAGCACAUGUUUAGUAUGCAUGAGGUCCUGGGUUCAAUCCCCAGUAACUCCU